ensembl:lncRNA
GUGUUUUGCUAGUUAAGGGCAAAGCACUCUGUAAACAUUAAUUAACUUUCACAAGAUUAUGAGAAGCUCAUUUUUUCUGAGGAAACACCCAGAGGACAGAGAUCUUUAGCAAGGUCACACACACAUCAUCAUCUGCUUUGGGAGAAGAUCCUCAAGAGGAGGGGAAGAGCCUGAAUGGGGAGGUAGAGCAGACAGCUAAAGUGGCUGCUGAGCACAGGAGGGGAGAAGCCUUUUGCUGGGCCAAGAAGAGGAGAACUGCCUCAGGGACAGCGGAGAUCAAGGAGUGGACUGCAAGAUACACUCAGGAACAAUUAUAGCAGACCAGGCUGUAGGCAGCACAUGAUGGAUGGAUGGGCUGAGACAGCGAGAUCGCAUAAGCUGCAUUCCCCUGGGAAACCAGACUGAAAACACAUAAGAGGGGCAGUCUGACAACAAGGCAUCUGACAUGGAAGUGUGGAUGAAGCAAAGGUGUGUCACUGAAUUCCUCCAUGUGGAAAAGAUGGCACCCACUGACAUUCACUGAAGCUUGAUGUAUGUUUAUGGAGACCAAACGCUCAUACCAUUGAUGUGGCAGUAAAGUGUGCAACAGCCCUGCUUGUUGUGCUGCUGGCAGGAGCCUCACGAACUCAGCAUCCUCCUGGGAGCAAGCGGGACGCUGGGCACUGCAGUGAGAAGAUAAAGCAGUGAAAUGGCUCUGAGGGUUCCAGAAAGUAGCUCCCACAG